rnacentral:rRNA from 1 species
AACGAACGCUGGCGGCAGGCCUAACACAUGCAAGUCGAACGCUCCGCAAGGGGAGUGGCGCACGGGUGAGUAACACGUGGGAACCUACCUUCUGGUACGGAACAACCAAGGGAAACUUUGGCUAAGACCGUAUACGACCUCCGGGUGAAAGAUUGAUCGCCGGAAGAGGGGCCCGCGUCCGAUUAGGUAGUUGGUGAGGUAACGGCUCACCAAGCCUUCGAUCGGUAGCUGGUCUGAGAGGAUGACCAGCCACACUGGGACUGAGACACGGCCCAGACUCCUACGGGAGGCAGCAGUGGGGAAUAUUGGACAAUGGGCGCAAGCCUGAUCCAGCCAUGCCGCGUGAGUGAUGAAGGCCUC